UUAAGUUCAGCGGGUAGUCCUACCUGAUUUGAGAUCAAACGUUCAAAGAGCUGUCCUCACUGAGGAGAGAUGUUUAUGAGCCCCAGCGAACCUCCAUCGCUGAAGGUUACCUGGUGGAAAGCCACAAGCAUAGAUAGUUAUCACACCCGUGACGCCGCCAGACACUGGCAAGCUGAUCCUUUUGAGAGGAGCCGACGGGU
rnacentral:misc_RNA from 1 species